CCAAUAGCGUAUAUUAAAGUUGUUGCAGUUAAAAAGCUCGUAGUUGAAUUUCGGGAUCAAUUAAUUGGUCGUGCCUCUGGUACGUACUGAUUUUAUUGGUUUCUCCCUUCUGACGAACCAUGAUGUCAUUAAUUUGGUGUCGUGGAGAAUCAGGACUGUUACUUUGAAAAAAUUAGAGUGUUUAAAGCAAGCUAACGCCUGAAUACAUUAGCAUGGAAUAAUGAAAUAGGACGUUUGACCCUAUUUUGUUGGUUUCUAGGAUCGACGUAAUGAUUAAUAGGGAUAGUUGGGGGCAUUAGUAUUCAAUUGUCAGAGGUGAAAUUCUUGGAUUUAUUGAAGACUAACUACUGCGAAAGCAUUUGCCAAGGAUGUUUUCAUUAAUCAAGAACGAAAGUUAGGGGAUCGAAGACGAUCAGAUACCGUCGUAGUCUUAACCAUAAACUAUGCCGACUAGGGAUCGGAUGAUGUUAAUUUUUUAAUGGCUCAUUCGGCGCCUUACG
rnacentral:rRNA from 1 species